GUGCCAGCCGCUGCGGUAAUACGGAGGGUGCAAGCGUUAAUCGGAAUUACUGGGCGUAAAGCGCACGCAGGCGGUUUGUUAAGUCAGAUGUGAAAUCCCCGGGCUCAACCUGGGAACUGCAUUUGAAACUGGCAAGCUUGAGUCUCGUAGAGGGGGGUAGAAUUCCAGGUGUAGCGGUGAAAUGCGUAGAGAUCUGGAGGAAUACCGGUGGCGAAGGCGGCCCCCUGGACGAAGACUGACGCUCAGGUGCGAAAGCGUGGGGAGCAAACAGGAUUAGAUACCCUGGUAGUCCACGCCGUAAACGAUGUCGAUUUGGAGGUUGUGCCCUUGAGGCGUGGCUUCCGGAGCUAACGCGUUAAAUCGACCGCCUGGGGAGUACGGCCGCAAGGUUAAAACUCAAAUGAAUUGACGGGGCCCGCACAAGCGGUGGAGCAUGUGGUUUAAUUCGAUGCAACGCGAAGAACCUUACCUGGUCUUGACAUCCACAGAACUUAGCAGAGAUGCUUUGGU
rnacentral:rRNA from 1 species